ACUACGGGUGGCAGCAGUGGGGAAUAUUGGGCAAUGGGCGCAAGCCUGACCCAGCAACGCCGCGUGAAGGAAGAAGGCUUUCGGGUUGUAAACUUCUUUUGUCAGGGAAGAGUAGAAGACGGUACCUGACGAAUAAGCCACGGCUAACUACGUGCCAGCAGCCGCGGUAAUACGUAGGUGGCAAGCGUUGUCCGGAUUUACUGGGUGUAAAGGGCGUGUAGCCGGGUUGACAAGUCAGAUGUGAAAUCCUGCGGCGUAACCGCAGAACUGCUUUUGAAACUGUUGAUCUUGAUUACUGGAGCGGCAGUUGGCAUUCCUAGUGUAGCGGUGAAAUGCGUAGAUAUUAGGCGGAACACCAGUGGCGAAGGCGUUCUGCUGGACAGCAACUGACGGUGAGGCGCG
rnacentral:rRNA from 1 species